AGUGUAUCCCCGGAGAGCACCUCCAGCAGGGAGAUGAGGUUGUGUCCAUCUCGCAGGUCCUCAUAAAGGUCAGUCACAUGGCGCUGAGACUGGGCCCUUCUUACCUUAAUUAAAUGCUUGUUGACCCAUUUGGUGAAGGUCUUUUUCUGAACCCGGUCCCGUUCAUCUGUGAGAGACACAAACAACAAACAUUAGUCAAAACAACCAAGACAAAAGCCAUACAAAGCCUAAA